AAAUUUUGAGUAAAUAUAUUAUAUAUCUUUCACAAUGUACAUUGCUCAUAAAUAAAUACUUCAAUGUAAAAAAUAUUUCCUCAUAUUGACCUCAAAAUGACAACAUAAUUAAUUAUCAUAUUUCUAUUCUUGAGCACGAAAACAUAAUAUUUUCUCGAUUCAUAUGAUUUUCAGAAUUGUUAGAGAAUUUGUCAACAAAAAGAUAUUCCCUAUAACACUUUUUAAUUUAUAAAGAAACGAGUUGUCACCUCUUCCAUCUGUUAUGUAUACAACUAUUAUUUUUUUAUAAUUCAUUAGUGCUGUUACUCUUUUGAGUUUUCCCCUUAUCUAUUACGAAAGGCUACAAGUUAAUAAAAAAUAUAAAGAGAUUUUAAAAAGUACAAUGAACUUUUACAAACAUGAAUACUACUAAAGCAUUUAAUUCCAAUUUUAUAAAAGGCCUCUAACAAAUCGUAAGUGCUAAAAAUUAUUUAUUAGGAGUUAACAAAGCUUGAAAGUUAUACUUAUAAAGUGGUAUAAAAAUAUUCUAUUUAUUUCAAGUAAAUGAGGAAAAAUAUGAUUCAAAUUCUCAUAUUUAUUUAUGCUCUGAGUAUUUUUCUUUCUCCAUUUCUUGUUGAAAUCAAGGGUGGUAAGUACUUUUUAACACCAUGUUCUCAUCUAUCUUAUAUAAAAUAUUAUGCCCCUUUUUACUAACAUCCACUUUUCUUGUUUGACAAUGCAGAUGUCAUUCCCUGCAUUUCUCACUUUGAUUGUCCAGCAAAGUUUCCCCUAAAAAUGAAAUGCAUCGAUGAGUUUUGUCAGUAUGUGUUAGACUAAAAAUUACAUCUAAGUGUAUAAAUUGUAUUUAAUUCAAUCAAUAUGUAUUAGUUGAAUUAAAUGAGUGCAAAAUAUUAAUUCGAGUUUAAUAUAUUUAGAGUUUAAUUGAAAUAUACUGACAAUAUAAAAGGUUUUUACACCGUCAGUUAAUAAUAGACGUUGGAUAUUAAAAUAAAUUUAACUUUUAUUUUAAAAACCUAUAAAACAAUGCAAACGGAUGAUGGUGAUGAAUUGAUAGUGUAAAACUUUUUACACCGACAAUAUAUAAUAAUUAAUCUCAUAUAUUUAUGUAUUAAUAUUUAUAAAAUAUUAAUAUUUAUAAAUUAAUAAUUUUAAGAAAUAUAAUAUUUGUAUUUUUGGAAUUUACUUUUAAAUUUGUGCUAAGUAUCUGAAACUCUUGUUAUAACGAACUUAAAAAUAUAUAUUAUUAUAUUAUGCAAGUAUUAUUUCAUUUGUUGUUCAUAUAAGAUAUCAGAAUGUUAGUGUAUGAUUAUAAUAAAUUAUUUAAUUAAAUAAAACAAAAUAAAUGAUUAUGCUGAAUAAUUAUGUAUGAUAUAUGAUAUACAUAAUUUACAUUUUUAACAUAUUUAUAAUACUUAUGAUAAUAAUGUUAAUUCUGAUCGCCUUUCGAAGCUGGCAUUACCAUAUUGAUGGCUUUCAAAAUUUUCAAUAAAAUUAAAAUAAUUAGUGAAAUCCGUUAUUAUAUUUUUAAUGCAUAAAGAAUGCAUAUGAAUAUAUUUUCAAAGUGAUAUUAUUUGACAUUACACAAAACUAUAGUAUUUGAGAUAUUCAUGUGUUUUUUUUUAAGAAAAAAGAUGAUAUUUACUUGAAUAAAGUGAUUUACAACCAGAAAAAUAAACUUAUGUAAAAUAAACUAUAGCCUAGUUUUCUCAAAAUUCCAAAUUAGUACCUUUUAUCAAUGGAAAUAAAGCCACUUUAAACUAAGUUCAAGCUUCUUGCAAACUUGGUGUUGGUUGCUUGAUCCAUUUGGUUGUCGAGAAAUGAUGUUUUCCUUAAAGGGGUCAUAAAGAUGUAUUUGAAAUUAUGUUAGUUAAGAAUUUAGUUUUCGAGAAAUGAUGUUUUCCUUAAAGGGGUCAUAAAGAUGUAUUUGAAAUUAUGUUAGUUAAGAAUUUAGUUUGGGAAUGGUUAAGUGAUCAUCUUCUUCUCUCUUUAUAUAUGGGUUGAAUACCCCUAAUAUUCAAUUUCGAUGCAAUUGAUGCUUGUAAAAAAGUCACAUGAAAAGGUAAGAUUUGAUAAAGUACAAAGCUACAAAUAUCUCAGAGAGUUAGAAAAUAAAGCAUAAUGUAUGAAUAUAUAUAUUUUACUAUUUUUAAUCAACUCUAAUCAAAUGGUUAAUAUUUAUAAACACACAAUUUUUUUAAAAGUACAUUUUAGUGGCAUGGUAAUAAAGAGGCUUCUAUUUGUUUAUAUUCAUAAUUAGAGGUUAAUGAUUGUUAUAGUUGAAUAAUAUUUGUGAUAAUGAAUACACAAGUACUGAUCUCAAACAUGAAUUAUUAAUAGUACUUGAUCAGUGUAUUUUGAUGCACAUUCUUUUAUAUAUUUACUUAUGUAUUUUCGUGUUUUAGUUUGGUUAUUUUUCCCUUUUAAUGUGUUUUUAUAAUUUAUCUUAUUUUUACAUUUAUUUGUUUUUCGCAGUUUAUUUUCAGCAUUAGCAGUCUACACGAAUAAAUUCAUAACUGGAGCUAGGAGUAUCGGAUCGAGGCGUGUUACCAGUAGUUGGAAAGCUAAGAGAAAGAGUUAUGACUUUCAUGAAGAAGUCAAAAGCUAAUUCAGACUGUAGCAUGGUUGAAAAAUCCGUUAAAGCCUUCAGCACUAGAUUUAUAUUUUGUGUUGGGUUAUUUAGUUUGGGUCUGGGUUAUGUUUUGACCAAAUUAGGUUUAUUCUACUUUUCCUAUAACCUAAGCAGCCGAAAACAGUACACGAUAUCACUAUUCACGAAAAUUUGAAAGCUUGUACGAAUUCCAUGGAGAACUAAUCCCUCUGAUUCAAUCUGCCGUAAUUCAUGUUCCAAAACUUGAGAUUAUUUUAAUGUUAAUUUUAGUUUAAUUCCUUUCAAUGA
rnacentral:lncRNA from 1 species